rnacentral:rRNA from 1 species
AACGCUAGCUACAGGCUUAACACAUGCAAGUCGAGGGGCAGCAUGGUCUUAGCUUGCUAAGGCCGAUGGCGACCGGCGCACGGGUGAGUAACACGUAUCCAACCUGCCGUCUACUCUUGGACAGCCUUCUGAAAGGAAGAUUAAUACAAGAUGGCAUCAUGAGUCCGCAUGUUCACAUGAUUAAAGGUAUUCCGGUAGACGAUGGGGAUGCGUUCCAUUAGAUAGUAGGCGGGGUAACGGCCCACCUAGUCUUCGAUGGAUAGGGGUUCUGAGAGGAAGGUCCCCCACAUUGGGACUGAGACACGGUCCAAACUCCUACGGGAGGCAGCAGUGAGGAAUAUUGGUCAAUGGGCGAGAGCCUGAACCAGCCAAGUAGCGUGAAGGAUGACUGCCCUAUGGGUUGUAAACUUCUUUUAUAAAGGAAUAAAGUCGGGUAUGGAUACCCGUUUGCAUGUACUUUAUGAAUAAGGAUCGGCUAACUCCGUGCCAGCAGCCGCGGUAAUACGGAGGAUCCGAGCGUUAUCCGGAUUUAUUGGGUUUAAAGGGAGCGUAGAUGGAUGUUUAAGUCAGUUGUGAAAGUUUGCGGCUCAACCGUAAAAUUGCAGUUGAUACUGGAUAUCUUGAGUGCAGUUGAGGCAGGCGGAAUUCGUGGUGUAGCGGUGAAAUGCUUAGAUAUCACGAAGAACUCCGAUUGCGAAGGCAGCCUGCUAAGCUGCAACUGACAUUGAGGCUCGAAAGUGUGGGUAUCAAACAGGAUUAGAUACCCUGGUAGUCCACACGGUAAACGAUGAAUACUCGCUGUUUGCGAUAUACAGCAAGCCGCCAAGCGAAAGCGUUAAGUAUUCCACCUGGGGAGUACGCCGGCAACGGUGAAACUCAAAUGAAUUGACGGAAGG